GAUGGACGCUGGCGGCGUGCCUAAUACAUGCAAGUCGAGCGAACAGACGAGAGUGCUUGCACUCUCUGACGUUAGCGGCGGACGGGUGAGUAACACGUGGGUAACCUACCUAUAAGACUGGGAUAACUUCGGGAAACCGGAGCUAAUACCGGAUAAUAUUUAGCUUCGCAUGAAGCAAUAGUGAAAGACGGUUCUGCUGUCACUUAUAGAUGGACCCGCGGUGUAUUAGCUAGUUGGUGAGGUAACGGCUCACCAAGGCAACGAUACAUAGCCGACCUGAGAGGGUGAUCGGCCACACUGGGACUGAGACACGGCCCAGACUCCUACGGGAGGCAGCAGUAGGGAAUCUUCCGCAAUGGACGAAAGUCUGACGGAGCAAUGCCGCGUGAGUGAAGAAGGUUUUCGGAUCGUAAAACUCUGUUGUAAGGGAAGAACAAGUACGUUAGUAACUGAACGUACCUUGACGGUACCUUACCAGAAAGCCACGGCUAACUACGUG
rnacentral:rRNA from 1 species